GCUGCAACAAUUAAAAACACUACUAUAUUAAAGAUUUGGUUAGAGCAGCCAUACAUGAUAGUUUUUUUUAUAAGCCAAGAACUUGUUUUUAAAUUGGCACAAGGGGUGCCAAACCCAAAUACAAGAAAGAAGAAAAGAAUAUAAUGAAAAAGCUACAGUACAGAACCUGAUGCAAGAAAGCUAAACCCAAACCCUUUACAAAAAGAGAGGCCACAAUAAAUAACUCCUCACACACUGGCAAUAACUCCUCACCCACUGGCAGCUUCAAGGUCUUGCCAAUUUCAGAGAGAAGCAAGGCACGCCAUCGGAGAUGAUUUCCAUUCAAAUAGAGAAUAAUGAAAAUCCCUAGCCUUUGAUUUGAUCCAGUACCAGGUGCGAACUUGAAUUAAUUCCAAAGCUGGGCUCUCAUCCAAAUUACGAUCCUUGAAGACAAUGUUAUUACGAAUAAGCCAAAGUGUCCAGCAGGUAGCUAGCCAAACCGCACUUUCCACCGAUCUCUGUGUUUUAUUCCUCUAAAAUGUAGAAAAUUGUGAAAAACACACCGAAGCUGAGGCCGGAAAGGCUAGGGAACUACCCCACAAGCUAGCCACAGAACGCCAUAAAUCAUAGGAAAACCCACAUGUGAAGAAAAGAUGGCUGCUGCAUUCUGCAGUAAGGUUACAGAAUGAACAGCGAGCAUCCUCACUGCUUUGAAUGACCCUUCGCCGUCGUAAAUUCUCUUUAGUCUGUACUCGAUUCAGCAGUAAGCGCCAGGCAAAGGCUUUAACAUUGGAAGGGGCAAAACCCGACCAGAUUGAGUUAAAAUCAAUCCCCAAGUCUGUCAAGUCAUGUACCUGCAAAAAAAAAGUAAGCAGAGUUAGUGGUAUAAACCCCCUCCACAGGGCUCCCACAACCACCUAUCCGGUCACCCCUCACGAAGGUUCCCCACAUUAAUGGCCCCCAGUAAAUCAUUCACCCAACUCACUUCUCG
rnacentral:lncRNA from 1 species